rnacentral:rRNA from 1 species
GACGAACGCUGGCGGCGUGCCUAAUACAUGCAAGUUGAGCGCUGAAGGUUGGUACUUGUACCAACUGGAUGAGCAGCGAACGGGUGAGUAACGCGUGGGGAAUCUGCCUUUGAGCGGGGGACAACAUUUGGAAACGAAUGCUAAUACCGCAUAAAAACUUUAAACACAAGUUUUAAGUUUGAAAGAUGCAAUUGCAUCACUCAAAGAUGAUCCCGCGUUGUAUUAGCUAGUUGGUGAGGUAAAGGCUCACCAAGGCGAUGAUACAUAGCCGACCUGAGAGGGUGAUCGGCCACAUUGGGACUGAGACACGGCCCAAACUCCUACGGGAGGCAGCAGUAGGGAAUCUUCGGCGAUGGACGAAAGUCUGACCGAGCAACGCCGCGUGAGUGAAGAAGGUUGUCGGAUCGUAAAACUCUGUUGGUAGAGAAGAACGUUGGUGAGAGUGGAAAGCUCAUCAAGUGACGGUAACUACACAGAAAGGGACGGCUAACUACGUG